AGAGUUUGAUCAUGGCUCAGGAUGAACGCUAGCGGCGUGCUUAACACAUGCAAGUCGAACGAUUGAAGCUGGAGCUUGCUCCGGCUGAUUUAGUGGCGGACGGGUGAGUAACGCGUGGGUAACCUGCCUCAUACAGGGGGAUAGCAGUUGGAAACGACUGGUAAAACCGCAUAAGCGCACGGUGUCGCAUGACACAGUGUGAAAACACUCCGGUGGUAUGAGAUGGACCCGCGU
rnacentral:rRNA from 1 species